rnacentral:lncRNA from 1 species
GCCCUUUUUGGAACGACGUGGUUUUGCCACGUGGCAGGUCCCGGUUGGCCGGGACUGCUGACCGGGCCUGCUAACGUGGCUGCCGACGUGGCUUUUUUUGUUUUUUUUGUUUUUUUUUUCUCGGUCCGGGCGCUACAGACUUCCUCAUCCACAAUAGACCCUUAACAUUUCUGUUGAAAUUUAUUUUUAGAGAAGUUUCGCCACCAGUCAACAGCCCCAACGAAUCAGGACGUACCGCAUGGCAGCAGACACUGAUGCAGUGCCACGCGGGAGGCCACACUGUUCCCGCGCGCACAAAUGGCCCAAAUGUGUUCCCUCCCCAAAUGCAAUCGCAUGGUCCAGAUUAUAUAGCAAUGAACGGCCCAGAUUGGAUCGUGAUGAAUAGCCCAGAUUCACUCCCUAUUUAAUCGCGAUCGAAUGGUCCAAAUCAAACACAAUUGAUGGCCCAAAUCAAAAGCGGACGGAUAUAAAUAACCCCCAUCCACAACAAACCCUAACUCUAACUGCCAGAUCCCCUCGCCAGAGAAGAAGACCCAAUCAUCGAAAAGGACACUGCCGCCACUCGUCGCCACGCU